UGAGGAAUAUUGGUCAAUGGGCGAGAGCCUGAACCAGCCAAGUAGCGUGCAGGAUGACGGCCCUAUGGGUUGUAAACUGAUUUUAUGUGGGGAUAAAGUGCGUUACGUGUCAUGCAUUGCAGGUACCACAUGAAUAAGGACCGGCUAAUUCCGUGCCAGCAGCCGCGGUAAUACGGAAGGUCCGGGCGUUAUCCGGAUUUAUUGGGUUUAAAGGGAGCGUAGGCUGUCUAUUAAGCGUGGUGUGAAAUAUACCGGCUCAACCGGUGGCUUGCAGCGCGAACUGGUCGACUUGAGUAUGCAGGAAGUAGGCGGAAUUCAUGGUGUAGCGGUGAAAUGCUUAGAUAUCAUGACGUACUCCGAUUGCGAAGGCAGCUUACGGGAGUGUUACUGACGCUUAAGCUCGAAGGUGCGGGUAUCGAACAGG
rnacentral:rRNA from 1 species